rnacentral:rRNA from 1 species
UACGUAGGGGGCAAGCGUUGUCCGGAUUUAUUGGGCGUAAAGAGCGUGUAGGCGGCCUGACAGGUCUGCUGUGAAAACUCGAGGCUCAACCUCGAGAUGUCGGCGGAAACCGUCUGGCUAGAGUCCGGAAGAGGAGAGUGGAAUUCCUGGUGUAAGCGGUGAAAUGCGCAGAUAUCAGGAAGAACACCUAUGGCGAAGGCGGGUCUCUGGGCAGUAACUGACGCUGAGGACGAAGCGUGGGGAGCGAACAGG